rnacentral:rRNA from 1 species
AUUGAACGCUGGCGGCAGGCCUAACACAUGCAAGUCGAACGAGUGGCGGACGGGUGAGUCAUGUCUGGGAAACUGCCUGAUGGAGGGGGAUAACUAAUGGAAACGGUAGCUAAUACCGCAUACCAUCAGAUGUGCCAAGAUGGGAUUAGCUAGUGGGUGGGGUAACGGCUCACCAAGGCGACGAUCCCUAGCUGGUCUGAGCGGAUGACCAGCAACACUGGAACGGAGACACGCUCCAGACUCCUACGGGAGGCAGCAGUGGGGAAUAUUGCACAAUGGGCGCAAGCCUGAUGCAGCCAUGCCGCGUGUAUGAAGAAGGCCUUCGGGUUGUAAAGCACUUUCAGCGGGGAGGCGUUACCCGCAGAAGAAGCACCGGCUAACUCCGUGCCAGCAGCCGCGGUAAUUC